rnacentral:rRNA from 1 species
UGGGGAAUAUUGCACAAUGGGGGAAACCCUGAUGCAGCGACGCCGCGUGAGCGAAGAAGUAUUUCGGUAUGUAAAGCUCUAUCAGCAGGGAAGAUAAUGACGGUACCUGACUAAGAAGCCCCGGCUAACUACGUGCCAGCAGCCGCGGUAAUACGUAGGGGGCAAGCGUUAUCCGGAUUUACUGGGUGUAAAGGGAGCGUAGACGGCGAAGCAAGUCUGGUGUGAAAACCCGGGGCUCAACCCCGGGCCUGCAUUGGAAACUGUUUUGCUUGAGUGCCGGAGAGGUAAGCGGAAUUCCUAGUGUAGCGGUGAAAUGCGUAGAUAUUAGGAGGAACACCAGUGGCGAAGGCGGCUUACUGGACGGCAACUGACGUUGAGGCUCGAAAGCGUGGGGAGCAAACA